UGUUCUCAUUUUUGUUCUCUCGAAACGAGGGACAAAUUCAGAAUAAGUAUGAUGAUUCUCUCCGAAAGAGAAGAAUGAAACAUCAAAUCUGAUUUAUGAUCUAUCCCUUUCCCUCUAUUAAUUAUUUUUACAGCCAAGAAUACACUACCCUCUCUUUCUUAUAUUUGACAGGACGUACCACAAAAGCUCCACCAUCUUAAAUAGUGCUCAACUGCCCCUCUUUUUCAAUAUACUCUCCCCACCUUUCUGUAUUACUCAUCAUAUUUUAUGAGUACAAAUUAAAUGAAAAAGAGGAUAUAUAUGAUUCUUUGCUGCAGAGACUACAAGUGUAAUCUUGAUUUUCAUGGAGGUUUCACAAAGAGUUUCUUACAGAGUUCUUUGGCAUUCUGUCCACCUCCUUUAUAAUAUCCUUUUAGAUUAUUUUUUAAAAAAUAAUUAACAAAAAAAAGUGUAAAGAUGGAGGUGGGCAUACUGUCAACAGAGUUGUGUUGGUAUCCCUUUGUGAAAUCCUCGUGAUUAUCACACGUUCUUCAUGUGGUUGUUGUUGUUAAUUCCCCCCAGAUUUUGCGCUGAUGAUGACGACUAGGGUUUGAGGAAUUCCAAAAGGUAAUAAUGUCGAAGCGGUAGGAAAGAAUCAUUGAAUGGUUCUAAACUGGAAAGAGUUGGAUGUCUAGCUAAUUUGUCCAAACCACAAUGAUAGUAUGUUUGUACCUGAAUUGGUGGCUCACUUUUUCUAAAGUAACGGAGAAGAGGAUCAAAACAUGCCACUGGAAGACUCUGUUGGGUCAAAGAUGAGCUGUCAAGAACCUAGAAAAGGUAGGACGAGUCAAUGGUGAGAUCUAAUAUGGAUUAUUAAUGAAAGGUAGUUGGAAUCGACAGUUACCCAAGAUUUUUCUCAAGUAGAAAUUUAUCUGCUUAGUGUAAAUAUAAGCGAAGAAACAGUAAGCAUGAAAAUAGUAUAGCUAGGUUUUGACUUUGGAUUCAAUAGUAUUAGUGCAACGCUGUGACGUUCACACAUCAGAAAUUCGAACCUUAUCGCGUGCUCAA